GAUGAACGCUGGCGGCGUGCCUAAUACAUGCAAGUCGAGCGAACAGACGAGGAGCUUGCUCCUCUGACGUUAGCGGCGGACGGGUGAGUAACACGUGGAUAACCUACCUAUAAGACUGGGAUAACUUCGGGAAACCGGAGCUAAUACCGGAUAAUAUAUUGAACCGCAUGGUUCAAUAGUGAAAGACGGUUUUGCUGUCACUUAUAGAUGGAUCCGCGCCGCAUUAGCUAGUUGGUAAGGUAACGGCUUACCAAGGCAACGAUGCGUAGCCGACCUGAGAGGGUGAUCGGCCACACUGGAACGGAGACACGGUCCAGACUCCUACGAGAGGCAGCAGUAGGGAAUCUUCCGCAAUGGGCGAAAGCUUGACGGAGGAACGCCGCGUGAGUGAUGAAGGUCUUCGGAUCGUAAAACUCUGUUAUUAGGGAAGAACAAAUGUGUAAGUAACUAUGCACGUCUUGACGGUACCUAAUCAGAAAGCCACGGCUAACUACG
rnacentral:rRNA from 1 species